rnacentral:rRNA from 1 species
AUUGAACGCUGGCGGCAUGCCUUACACAUGCAAGUCGAACGGCAGCACGGGAGCAAUCCUGGUGGCGAGUGGCGAACGGGUGAGUAAUAUAUCGGAACGUGCCCAGUCGUGGGGGAUAACGCAGCGAAAGCUGUGCUAAUACCGCAUACGAUCUAUGGAUGAAAGCGGGGGAUCGCAAGACCUCGCGCGAUUGGAGCGGCCGAUAUCAGAUUAGCUAGUUGGUGGGGUAAAGGCCCACCAAGGCAACGAUCUGUAGCUGGUCUGAGAGGACGACCAGCCACACUGGAACUGAGACACGGUCCAGACUCCUACGGGAGGCAGCAGUGGGGAAUUUUGGACAAUGGGCGCAAGCCUGAUCCAGCAAUGCCGCGUGCAGGACGAAGGCCUUCGGUGUAACUGCUUUGUACGGAGCGAAACGGCUUUCUCUAAUACAGGGGCGUAAUGACGGUACCGUAAGAA